rnacentral:rRNA from 1 species
GUCUACGGCCAUGCCACCCUGAAGAAGCCCGAUUCCGUAUGAUCUCAGAAGCUAAGCAGGGUCAGGCCUGGUUAGUACUUGGAUGACCACCUAGGAAGACCAAGUGCUGUAGGAG